CUCGUAGGUGGCCAACUAAGUCAGACGUGAAAUCCCUCGGCUUAACCGGGGAACUGCGUCUGAUACUGGAUGGCUUGAGUUUGGGAGAGGGACGCGGAAUUCCAGGUGUAGCGGUGAAAUGCGUAGAUAUCUGGAGGAACACCGGUGGCGAAGGCGGCGUCCUGGACCAAUACUGACACUGAGUGAGCGAAAGCCAGGGGGAGCAAACGG
rnacentral:rRNA from 1 species